rnacentral:lncRNA from 1 species
AAACAGAGGAGUAGCAAAAUGGGAGGAAGGUGCUGUGACUAAAUGAAGGAAGGCUGAGGGGUUAAAAUCAUUGCUGGGUGAUUUCACCACUACUGCCCCAUAUUCAUACUCUCGGUAAAUGAAUGAGGAGAGCCCCAUGUGGGAUUACAAACUUGCUGGAAAUGGAUGAGAAACCUUCUGCUCUGCUGGAGUUUAUCUUGAGUGUGCCUUAAAAUUCCAUUUCAUGGAGAACUGUGCGUGGUUGAAUUUUGAUUGAUUACUCAAUUAACUGAUGUAUUGGUAGAGUGAUUAAGAAAGAAGACUUUGGGAUCAGACCAACCUGGUUUUGAAUUCAAGCUCAGCAACUUACUAGGUAAGGAGGAGAAAAGAAAGAAGGAAAAAUUGGAAAGAUAAAUGGGGUCUUUCCAGUGAAGCCUCCAGGCCUCCAGACUGGAACUUAUACCACUGAUUCUUCUGAAUCUUAGGCCUUUGGACUUGGACUGGAACUAAACCAUCAGCUCUUCUUGUUCUACCACUUGCAGACUGUAUGUCUUGGGACAUGUCAGCCUCUGUAAUCACGCUCAAUUUUCCUACAUAAUUAAGAGUUUGGAAUUCGGGCAAUAUCAAGAACCACAUCUGUCCUGAAAUCAAUUAUCUCUGUUUGGAAUAUGGAUAUGAGAGAUCACUUUGCUGUGCUGUAAAUGAUCGAUUAAAAUACAUAUUUCUUUUGUCUCCUGGUACUUUCUUAUCCCAGUGCUGUGCUGAGCCAUAUUGGAGCCUAAGGCAAAAGGGACCAUCAGUAACACUAAUCCUGUCUUUAUUUAAAAUUUUGAUAUUUUGUUCAUCAUGGAUUUAUUUGCAUAAAUUUUAAUAUUGAAAUCUAUUGAUUAAAAUAUUAUGUAUCUUGAUUACUGAGUUUUUCGUUAUCCCUUCUGUUCUUGAGACAAUGACUCAUUUAUCUGGCCCUACUCUCUGCUCUGAUUACUCCUUCAAAACUACGUGUAUCUCCGGUCUUAGAACAUCCAAGCAACUUUAUAUUCCAAGUUAUUUAAAAGCAUGAUGAAUUUAGA